UACGUAGGGUGCGAGCGUAAUCGGAAUUACUGGGCGUAAAGUGUGCGCAGGCGGCCGCGCAAGUCGAGUGUGAAAGCCCCGAGCUUAACUUGGGAAUUGCGCUCGAAACUACGUGGCUGGAGUGUGGCAGAGGAAGGUGGAAUUCCACGUGUAGCGGUGAAAUGCGUAGAGAUGUGGAGGAACACCGAUGGCGAAGGCAGCCUUCUGGGCCAACACUGACGCUCAUGCACGAAAGCGUGGGGAGCAAACAGG
rnacentral:rRNA from 1 species